rnacentral:rRNA from 1 species
CACGUAGGGUGCGAGCGUUGUCCGGAAUUAUUGGGCGUAAAGAGCUCGUAGGCGGUGUGUCGCGUCGGCCGUGAAAACCUGCAGCUUAACUGUGGGCUUGCGGUCGAUACGGGCAUCACUGGAGUUCGGCAGGGGAGACUGGAAUUCCUGGUGUAGCGGUGAAAUGCGCAGAUAUCAGGAGGAACACCGGUGGCGAAGGCGGGUCUCUGGGCCGAUGACUGACGCUGAGGAGCGAAAGCGUGGGGAGCGAACAG